CACGUAGGGUGCGAGCGUUGUCCGGAAUUAUUGGGCGUAAAGAGCUCGUAGGCGGUGUGUCGCGUCGGCCGUGAAAACCUGCAGCUUAACUGUGGGCGUGCGGUCGAUACGGGCAUCACUGGAGUUCGGCAGGGGAGACUGGAAUUCCUGGUGUAGCGGUGAAAUGCGCAGAUAUCAGGAGGAACACCGGUGGCGAAGGCGGGUCUCUGGGCCAUAACUGACGCUGAGGAGCGAAAGCGUGGGGAGCGAACAGG
rnacentral:rRNA from 1 species